rnacentral:piRNA from 1 species
UGUACAGGGAGUUGACCGAUCCUUUUCACU